GCCUGGGAGGCUCAGUUGGUUGGGUACCUGACUUCAGCUCAGGUCAUGAUCGCACAGUUUGUGAGUUCAAACCCCACGUCAGGUU
rnacentral:tRNA from 1 species